rnacentral:lncRNA from 1 species
AACAACCCUUUGGCAAAGGAAGAGCAAAAGAUUCGAUUCAAAUUCAAAGUUCGUCUAAAGAUAGUUGGUUCGGUGUAGAUCAAGCUUAUCCACACCGAACCGCGAAUGUGACGGCCAACAGCAGUGGCCAAAGUUUCAUACAGCUAACACUCAGCAUACCGAGGUAAAAGUUUUAUUAAACGUCGUUAGGACUGGCACUGGGACUGGCAGGCUCCACGAAAGUGUCGAGGUCGAU